AUGACAUCCACACAACAUAAUCAGAGCAUGAACUAUGUGCUCAAGAAGAACUUCGUAAAUGAGAGACAAAACUUGCACCAGUUUGUUAGCCAAGUAAACACCUGCAUCAAAACCAGGAGGCAGAAAGAGAACAAGGAGAUAAUGGGUAACUGGAAAAAACAAAACACGCUGACUCUCUAUGGGUUCGACACUCAGAUGGCAAAGCUUUACUCACGAGGUGUGUAUAGCGAGAUUCGAAAGGGGCUUAAACUGAGCACCCUUUUCACGGCGACCGAGACAGAUGGGCCUAGAAAGUACUUUGUGCACUACAACAACCCGCAAAAACAGUUUGUGUGGUCACAACACACGUUCCAGGUGGUUGUAGACAGCAUGGGAGAAAUAUACGACUGCGAAUGCAAGCUGUGGGACCACACAGGUAUUUUCUGCAUGCAUGUCCUCUGCAUGAUGCAGACAAAUAAGGCUAGUGGCGUUCCAGAGAAAUACAUCAUCAGGAGAUACAGCAAAUGCCCGAACAUGCAGCCAACCUUCAACAGAGAUGACUUGAGGACAAUAGCGUCGAAUAAGGCCUCCCACUACUGCAUUGAAAGCGCACUGCUACAGCUGAACAUGAGCGUACAUAGAAAAAUCUUGAGAAGCCAAGAGCAAAUGGUGAGGGCACGAGUCGUUAUGGAAAGUCUUGAACAAGAACUCGACGCCAUGAAAUUUGUUGCAAAUGGAGAUGACACGGACAACGAAGCAAAAAUUGACCAUGAUGUCGCUACAAUCUUAUCUGAAAUGAACCAUCUUGUAGCUAUUAGCAGCUACGACAACGAGGAGGAGUAG
rnacentral:rRNA from 1 species